CUUAGCGGCGGACGGGUGAGUAAUGCUUAGGAAUCUGCCUAUUAGUGGGGGACAACAUCUCGAAAGGGAUGCUAAUACCGCAUACGCCCUACGGGGGAAAGCAGGGGAUCUUCGGACCUUGCGCUAAUAGAUGAGCCUAAGUCGGAUUAGCUAGUUGGUGGGGUAAAGGCCUACCAAGGCGACGAUCUGUAGCGGGUCUGAGAGGAUGAUCCGCCACACUGGGACUGAGACACGGCCCAGACUCCUACGGGAGGCAGCAGUGGGGAAUAUUGGACAAUGGGGGGAACCCUGAUCCAGCCAUGCCGCGUGUGUGAAGAAGGCCUUUUGGUUGUAAAGCACUUUAAGCGAGGAGGAGGCUACUCUAGUUAAUACCUAGGGAUAGUGGACGUUACUCGCAGAAUAAGCACCGGCUAACUCUGUGCCAGCAGCCGCGGUAAUACAGAGGGUGCGAGCGUUAAUCGGAUUUACUGGGCGUAAAGCGUGCGUAGGCGGCUUUUUAAGUCGGAUGUGAAAUCCCUGAGCUUAACUUAGGAAUUGCAUUCGAUACUGGGAAGCUAGAGUAUGGGAGAGGAUGGUAGAAUUCCAGGUGUAGCGGUGAAAUGCGUAGAGAUCUGGAGGAAUACCGAUGGCGAAGGCAGCCAUCUGGCCUAAUACUGACGCUGAGGUACGAAAGCAUGGGGAGCAAACAGGAUUAGAUACCCUGGUAGUCCAUGCCGUAAACGAUGUCUACUAGCCGUUGGGGCCUUUGAGGCUUUAGUGGCGCAGCUAACGCGAUAAGUAGACCGCCUGGGGAGUACGGUCGCAAGACUAAAACUCAAAUGAAUUGACGGGGGCCCGCACAAGCGGUGGAGCAUGUGGUUU
rnacentral:rRNA from 1 species